AGAUCGUGUUUUCAAUUUGAACUCCAUUUAAGGCUAGUGCCUCGCCAUUUCACGCCAGUUUGUAUCAGGACGUCGAACGGAACGCGUCUUUUUUUUAAGCCAAACCAGUUCAUUCCUCAUUUCACUAUGGAACCCCCCUGCGUUUGCAAGUGCCCAUGCACGGGAUGUGUGGCCAUCCGGGCCAGCUGGACAAUGUGCGAUUGCGGUCUAUGCCUCCUACUUUCUACCCAAGAAGUAACAGAACCCCACAAUUGCUUCUUUGAGUGCAACUGCGCUACGUGCGCUAUUCCGAAAAAGGAGAAAAACUGCGACUG